CCUACGGGAGGCUGCAGUGGGGAAUAUUGCACAAUGGGCGCAAGCCUGAUGCAGCCAUGCCGCGUGUGUGAAGAAGGCCUUCGGGUUGUAAAGCACUUUCAGCGGGGAGGAAGGCGUUAAGGUUAAUAACCUUGUCGAUUGACGUUACCCGCAGAAGAAGCACCGGCUAACUCCGUGCCAGCAGCCGCGGUAAUACGGAGGGUGCAAGCGUUAAUCGGAAUUACUGGGCGUAAAGCGCACGCAGGCGGUCUGUCAAGUCGGAUGUGAAAUCCCCGGGCUCAACCUGGGAACUGCAUUCGAAACUGGCAGGCUAGAGUCUUGUAGAGGGGGGUAGAAUUCCAGGUGUAGCGGUGAAAUGCGUAGAGAUCUGGAGGAAUACCGGUGGCGAAGGCGGCCCCCUGGACAAAGACUGACACUCAGGUGCAAAAGCGUGGGGAGCAAACAGGAUUAGAUACCCGGGUAGUC
rnacentral:rRNA from 1 species